UACAUACCACUUCUCAUUUAAACUUACUUCACUCUCCUCCUCCUGAACAUUGUCCGCCUUUUUUUUCUAAAUGGUUCCAUGCAUAUAGUUUGGUCUAAUUCAACAUGGCUAAUUCAUUGGUAUUAUUUUUCUAUUUUGCCUGAAAAAAUAGCAGAUAAUGGCAAUCCCUAAAGGACUACACAAUGGGUGGUUCAAAAAGGACUACAGGCGCCUGGAGUUUGACUAGAAACAUGACACACCAUUGGAUGAUGUGGAUGUUGUCUUCUAUAAUUCAAAAUAAUUCAGAAGUCAGUCGAUGUUGCAUUUCCGCUUUCUCUCAUGCAAAAUGUCAUAGAUAUAAAUUACAUGCUACUUUUCCGAAUACUUAUUUACCCUGAUUCAGGAUGACCAUGUUACAGAGAAGAAAGAAGAAGGACCCAUAGGUCUCAAUGCAUUUGAACUGAUUUUAAGGCUACCAGUUAGAGACCUAAAAUCUUGGGAACUUAUUUGACUUAAACUAUCUGGUAACUUGAAAUAUUCAAAUUGCAAUAACUGAUAAGGUUAAGUUGCCAUUAUUUUCUAAGGACAUAGGGUCUCACGCCUGUUAUAUGCACUUCCAUUUUCUUUGCUAUAGUAAUGAAUGCCAACAGUUAUAACGAAUGCUACAACCUCUUAUUUCUAUGCUGUGAUUACAAAUCGAGUCUAAAAGUUUUAUAUUUUCUUGUCAGGUUAAGCUUCAACAAUUGGCAAUUUUUUAUAAGGAAUACUGCAGUGUACAAAUGAAAUUUUUUCUGUAAAAAUGUUGCCUUCCCCUCUGCUCCUUUUUAUUUGACAGAUAUCAAACUUAGUCAUUGACGGUCAUGAUGAUUGAUCAACAAGGAACUCAUGAGUCACCUAAAGAACUCAGUUCUGUUGUCAACAAAGUGGAGAUAAGUAAAGGGAUUUCUUUUCAGCUCUUGCUUAAAGCAUCUAGAUGCACACAUGAUAUAACAUAAGCAACAAGGAUGCACAGCCAUCGUGCAGACAGAAGACAAAAAAACGCAAGAAAGUAACAUCCUUGGCCACCUUUGGACUCUUCUCCAACAAGAUCAAAAACUGAAGAACCCAAACCACAUGCUGAAAGCACUGGACAUGGGGCCUCUGAGUCAACAAAAGAAGGGACAAAGGUUGAUACAUAUAGAUUCUUAUUUGUUUUUUAUGCAGAUUCAUUCUGUUUAACAUAGUUGUGUUUAGGGUCAUAUUCUUUUCUCUGACGGUAUUAAUUUAUAUAGCAUUGAACUUGAACUGUCUUUGCCAUUCCAAGCAUAUUGUAAGGCCAGCUUUAGGACAUACUUCUCUGCCCCACACUUAGUGCUUUUGUAUAGAUGCUGGAAGCUCCAAGACCGUCAAAGGUCGCAGUGCACUUACUAAUGACCCUGUAUAAUAUCUCUGACCAACACUCUAUAAUGCUUUUGUAUAGGCACUGUACUUUAUCAUGUAGCAAAUUUUAACUAUUUUCGGCACCUAUAUGUUUGGCCUACAUAUCUAUGCUGCUGGCAGACUUAAACUCUAAAUUAGAUGCAGUAUUCUAUA